ensembl:lncRNA
GUCAGGCUCGCUGCAGAGCCCCGUGGACCCCGCCGGGCUGAGCGGUCCACACCUCGGUCAGCCCUCUUGGAAGGACUGCCCCAGCCAUGUUAUAAAAGGAGGAAAUGUCACAGUGGGCAGACCCCACUCCUGCGUUAUAGACAGGAAACUCAGGCGUACAGUUUCUCUAAUUCCAAGUUCGACGUUACUACCUGCUUCUCAAAUGAGUAAUUGGCAGCCUCAAUUCUCUGCAGAGGGGAUGCAGAAUAGCAGAGUAUCUGUGAUACAACUUUCGGGAACAUCAAUUUUACUACAAGAUUUAUAACAAAUGGAGUUAAGUAACUUCCAAGGUAACUAAUUAAACAUUUAAAACUAAAACAAGAAGGUUGGGAAGUCAUCCAUCAUUAAUAACUGUCAGUAAUUUGUGCCUUAAAUGCCAGACUUUCUCUGAGAAAAUACUAAGGAGAACCUAUUUCCCAUUAUUUUCAACAGCAAAAAUGAUAAGACGUUGCAAGUCCUGGAAAAACCCUCCCAAUUUCCUGAAUCACAAUAUGGCACCUAGAUAGAAGUUACGAAUAUCGUGUUAGGAGGUGCUGGAUACACAGUCUGAACAGCACAGUUUAGGGUCCUGUGCUAUGAAGAAACCUACAUGCUAAUCCUGGGAAAUGAGACAAGCAACAAGCAAGUGAACCCAGGAAAAACCAGUGUCACUUCAGAUGGUGAUAAAGCAGGGUCAUGUGAUCGAGCGAGCCCAAAUGGCUAGUGGACAGAAGGUCACUCUAUUUUAGAUUGGCUGGUCAGGGUAGGUCUCUCUAAGGAGGUAAGAUUCAAGCUUUCCAGGUAGGAGGUACAGUCGAAGAAUGUAUCCAUGAAGGUGAGAGCCCAUUUGAGUGCUGUGGAUGCCAGCCUGGGAAAGUGACCGAUGGGGAGAAAGGUAUCAGUGGACAUUCACUGACCAAUGGUGGAAGCCCACACAACACAACAGGACACCUGAGAGACACAUGCAGCUAUACAUCUGCAGAUGGAUGCACGGGCCCCCAGGGACGUGGCAGAGAUAGCCUCAAUAUCCUCACCACCUUGUUCCUUCACUGUUCCAAAGUUGGCAACAUAGCAAUUCUGAGUCGAUCCAGAUUUCUAGUUUAUUUUAUCUGGAAUCCAAGCUACAGAAGACAACUGGAGAAUUCCUCACGCUUACACAUUUAUUAAAUUCAAUCCAGGCAACGUGAUGAUGAUAUCCAGGGAUGUUUCCCUGCCUUGUGUGGUGAAAAAUUGUAAAAGAUGUUGAAAAGGCUUACCUACUUACCUUUCUGAGUUAUCUCUGCCUUUCAUCGUGUUUGCUCUAGUUUAUAAAUUGUACAUUGUAGAUACCAGUAGCAAUGCAAGUGAUACUUGUCUACAGACAGGCACAUUGUGUCCAGUGUGGAGACAGCUGAUUUCCCUCUCUGCUGUGGAUGAAGCUAGUUUUGUAUCUAUUUGUAUAUUUAUUUGUGAAUUCCUGAUCUAUUAUUCUUUGAGUUACUUUUUAUACCAAUUACAACAACUUAAUGAAUGAAGUAAAAUCUUUGACACAUAUUCAUUUUAUAUUUGUAUGAAAGUCACAAUUUUAAGUUGUGUGUAUAUAUGUAGGUGUAUGUAUUAUAUAUAAACUUGUUCUUUAACAUUUCACAUUGCACACAGCUAUUUCCCUCAUUUAAUAGCUGUUGCAAACCUUCAUACUUCUUUUUAAGUCUCAUUCUACGACUUCUUCUCACUGCCAGAAAAUAAUUUCUAUUUUGUGGAUAAAAGUAUAGAAUAGCAAAUAAGUAUAUCCUCAGCUGUGUCAUCGGGUCAUUGUAUGAGCAUUCGGAUUCAUCAGUGAUACCCUCUCUCCAUCUCUUUUCUGGGAAAAACAUGCCCCUCCUCUCUGAAGUUAAUCCCUUCCACUGUGCACCCAGUUCUGACUUUCUGCGUCAGUUGAGAUACUUACACUAUUACUGCUCCUCUUUCUCUCAUAAACUUUCAGCACAUACCAAAAUUUAAGUCAGUUUCAUCUUUAAAAAUAUUACCCUGUGUCUGCUUCUGUUCAUUUUCCUUCAUUUCGUUGCAAUAUUUUCUUACAGGCAUCCACACUGGUUCCACUUUCUCACUUCAGCCUACUGCGAUAGGAUUUUUG